ACCGACGUCGGCCUGUGAACUUCCCAGUUUCUUCCCAACCGCGCCGCCCGUCCCCAACUCCCGCCCCACCUUCUUCCCGGCGGCCGGCCCAAACUCCCGCCCCGCCUUCUUCCCAGCGGCCAGUCCCAACUCCUGCCCCACCUUCUUCCCGGCGGCCGGCACUGAAUCCCCGCCUCACCUUCUUCACUGGUGGUAGCACCACAUCGGUGCAGCACCUUCUUCCCGGCGGCCGGCACCGAAUCCCCUAUCUUCCACCAACCCCGUGCCCGAAUCCCACGUAUAGCCGGCGCCGGGUGCUCCCCGCCAGCGCCACCUCUCGCGACCUACCAGCCGGCGGCGCCCCUCCUCCCAGCUCGCACUCCGCCGAUCUCCUCCCCUGCACCUCGUGCACCGUCAAAUCCCCUCCCCUGCUGCUCUUGAGCAACCCAUCCUAUCCCCUGUAGUUCGCGCAUCGCCAAAUCCCCUCCCCUGCAGCACCUGAGCAGCACACCCCAUCCCCUGCAGCUUCGCGCGCCACUGCUCCAAUCCACUGCACCUGGCGCGCGGUCCUCCCCUUCCCUGCAGCUCGAAUGUGAGCCGCCUGGGAGUUCACCUAGCGCUGUUCAGUUUUCAACUGCUGUGCAGUUUUCAGCCUCGACAGACAGGUAAGAACGGCUGCUCACUUCUCAUCUACGGGCAGUUAAGUCGAUUAUUUUUUGACAUCAUGGAGCAGUCCAAUUAGGCCAGGACCGGAAUGUUGCUAACCGCCAGGUUUGACAUCUUCUACUUGUGCUUUCCACUUAACUUCUGUUCUGAACUUGUUGCUCGCCGUUUCUGAACAUCAGUUAGUGCUCUUAGCAAAGUAGCUCCUAGCAAGCAAGGCAUGAAAAAAAACAGCACUCGCAGCUCUCUCUCUCUCCCGUGAUCUAUUUGCGUGUUAAACUUUUCCCUGUGAUGCAGAGUAGUUUUGACCAAAAAAAAAUGCAAAAUGAUAUUGUUUUCUGAUAGAAGUUUGGUGCUCCCUAUGUGCUUGUUGAUAUGGCUGUGAGAAUCAUUUUUCUAUUCAUGAAAGCAAAAUAAAAAUGCAGUAGAUAAGUUUUGUGAAUACAAAGAGAAGUUAACAUUAUUCAAAAGAGGCAGUUCACUUCAUAUUUUUCGCGAGUUCAUUUAGUUUCUCGGAUAGCUUCACUUAAGAGAACACGUUAAGAACCAGUUAAAAAAAAGAAGAAUGUGGAGUUAGCUUUUAUAUUUAUGAGAAUUUCAUUUGGUACAGCAGCGGGGUUCACUUUUUGUAGAUAAAAAGGUUCAAUUCAUGAUCUUGCAGGGAUCUGGUGUUUGAUUUUUCCCUUGCAUUGCAUGGAUAAAGAGGUGUCGGUUCUUCUUGUAUAUGUGUUCAGUAAUACAAAUAAAAAUAGACGCUGAUGCUUUGGAAUGGUAGGAAAGGACUAUUCUGCUGAUGGAUGGUUUGUAAACUGCUGCUUGCAGUGUAAUUCCUCUGAGCUGAUGCAGUGCUAUCUGCUAUGGGCUAUGUGUGUUAUGCUGAAAGUUCAUAUAUCUGUCGGAUUAGUGAACUACCGACUGCUCUUUCUCUUUCUCUUCACUGUCAACGGAGUUCACAUUUUGAAGUCACUAAAUUCACUACAACGCUGGCAAAGUUCACAUGUUUUAUCAUAGGAGCUCACUUCUUUGUGUCUAAAAAGUGAGCUCACUUCUACUAUGUGAACUUAUAUGCCUGUGUAUUUUUUUUCUCUAUCUUUUGUGGCACAAAAGAACCGAUCAUGUAGUUGUGCUAAACCCUUGCUAGUUCUGAACUUAUGAUGUUUCAUUUCAGAACUGCACCUAGUUCAGAGCUAAACUACUACGGUAAAGAAUUUGCCAGGCGCCAUCACACCGUCGCUGGAAUUCAGAAGCGCUACGGCAAGUUGGAAUUCAAAAUUGCCGCUGCGGGCGUCCACUGACGUCAAUCUCCUGGUGUCUUGUUAAUCGCUAGCUAUCAAUCACACAAAAAGCAAACUGUGAAGUUCAGUCUUGUGCUCUUCCGAAGAUCAGUCUAUGGUGUGCAUCAUGCCUCUGAAAUUCUUUAGUUCACAGGCGAAUCAGUCCAUCAUGUUGAAUCCCUCAAAAGACUACAGAGAGCUUACCAUCCUGGCGCAAAAAAUGCUAAGGUGCACAUGGUAGAAGUUCACAUCAACUAUAUUGUGAAGCUCGCCUCUUCUUUCCCGUGAAUUCGCCUCGUCAAUUAUUUUGUCAGCAAGUUCACAUCGCCCUCAUGUAGAAAACUAGAAGUUCGGAUAUAAUUGUGGAGCACUGCAGUUCGCAUGGGCGUUGGUGAACAUCCCUCGGCGCACCUACCUCCGCAUCGGGUUGGUGAACAUCAGUGCACACCAAGUUCCUCGUUAGGCUGAGAUGUUUUUGCAACUGACUGGCUAUGAAGUUCACAUCUCUUUUUAGGGUAAAAUCUCAUGUGAAUUUGAGGAACCCAAACGAACAGAUGGUAUAUCAGCCUCAGAUAAUAUAAUGAAGAUUGUUGAAGAUUAUACGAGUAUGUUACGCCUAAUCUGGCUAUUGCGUACAACAGAAAUGAUGGUGACAAGCUGGGCUGCUGUUUCAAGGUCACUUGCUAGCGUAUUGAGUAUAAAUUUACUCGCGAACCGCGUCUGGCUGGGUUGUGAAAACAGAUGCAGCAGCUGGUUUGCGAACUUGCUCAAUGACCUGUGUAACUAUGAACUUGUGGCUGCUAUGUGUGUGUGUGAUUUUCAUUUACAGAUUGAGUGUUUUAUGAUUGGAAAUGUAUUCCUGUGACUUGC